rnacentral:piRNA from 1 species
UGAAGGCAUGUCCAGAAAAUCCCUC